GGCAGGAUGGCCGAGCGGUAUAAGGCGCUGGGUUAAGGCUUCAGUGGCGCGAGUUUGAAUCUCGCUCCUGUCA